UGCAUUGAGCCGAAAGGUCUCGUCAAAGUUAGGAUGUCUUCUCACGAGAGAGGAUGAGCUUAUAAAGGACUUUGACAAGAUGAGGAUAGAGAUGAUAAAACCACCAGGGACGAUAGCGAGUAUUGUUGAGACGAUGCCUAGUUUGAGGAAAAUGGUGAUUGAAGCACAAGGAAAGAUGAGACAAUGAACAAGUUACGAGAAAGGAUAAGAGCAGGAGAUCUCAAGAGCUACAAAAAAAAAAAAAAAAAUCAGACAAUGCUAUCUUAUUUGAGGGGAGAAGAUGCAUUCCCCGCGAUGAUGAACUUAAGAAUACGAUCAUGAGUGAGACUCAUGACACGCCUUACACCGCCCACCCAGGAGGCACACAGAUGUAUCAGGUUGUGAAAAAAAAAAAAAAAGAGAUUUUUGUGGGACGGAAUGAAACGAGACAUAGCUUUGUUUGUAGAGCGAUGCUUAGCUUGUCAGCAAGUGAAAGCAUUACACCAACGACCCUAUGGGAAGUUAAAACCGUUGGAGAUUCCCGAGUAGAAAUGGGAUCACAUAACGAUGGAUUUUGUGACAGCUUUACCCAAAAGUCAAAGAGAAAAUACAGCAAUUUGGGUGAUUGUAGAUCGACUAACAAAAUCUGCACAUUUCAUACCGAUCCUAAUCGCGUAUGGACCAGAUAAGUUAGCACAAUUGUACGUUCGUGAGAUUAUAAGAUUGCAUUGAGUACCGGUGUAGAUCACCUCAGAAAGAGAAAAUAAAUAAAUUUCAUCACAUUUUUGGAUGAGUUACAGAAAGAGUUGGGUACAAGGAUGAAUUUUAGCAUAGCAGGCGAUAGAAGAUAUGAUAAGAACUACUAUCCUUGAUAGAGGAGUAAAUCGGGAGAAUGUGUUGCCACUAAUUGAGUUUGCCUAUAAGAUGUGAGACAAAGUUUCGAGAUAGGAGACAAAGUUUUCUUGAAGGUUUCACCCUCAAAGGGGAUGAAUAGAUUUGGAGUUAAAAGACAGCUUAGACCCAGAGUUAUAAGUCCUUACGAGACAUUGCAAAAGAUAGGUCCAAUAGCGUAUAGGUUGGCUUUGCCACCUAGCUUUGGAAAUGUGCAUAACGCGUUUCACGUGUCACAAUUGAGAGGAUAUAUAUUUUCGACCCAAACCAUGUGGUUUACUAAGAAGAAAUGAUCUUAGAACCAGACUUGAGUUAUGAAGAGAGACCUCAGAUGAUGCUAGAUCAUAAAAUUUGGCAAUUGAGUAAUAAGUCGAUUGCAUUGGAUAAGGUCCAAUGGAGAUAUAAUAGUUAGAAAGAAGUGGAAAGAGAGCUUGAGGAUAAGAUGUGAGAGAAGUACCCGAAACAUUUACAAGAGGUACAAAUUUCGGGACGAAAUUUAUUUUAAGGGGGAGGGUAUGUAAUACCCGGGCUUUUGAUGACGUGUUUAAUUGCUUAAGUUUGAGUAAUUAGGGUAUAGAUCCCUUGUUUGAUUUACUUUGUAAAGAGAUGAGGAGUUAUAUGAAGUUCCCUUGUUAUUUUUAAGAUGUUGAGAUGUUCUUUUGAUGAUGUUUGGAUGAUGUGAGAUUUUAUAUCCGAAAUUGAGUUUGAGUAUUCGAAUAAUUCGAGAUAAUUAUUUGAAUGAGAACGGUGAACUCGGAAGUGAGAUCUGAGUCCGUUAAGACGUUUUUGAAAAUUUUGACUUUUUGACGAUGAAUAGUAAAAUACUGCUAUUUCGUCUUUUUGUCGACUUUCAAAAUCUUACGUGCACGUCGUCGAAAAAUAUUCUUAGUUUUUCGAUACGAGUCCAAUAAUGAAAGUUUUUAUUUUUGGACGACGAGUGAAUAGUGAACUAGAUUUUCUCGAUAAACGAACCGAGCUCGUUUAUCAGAAUUUCGAGAACGAGCUUGUGUUUUCUAUAUUUAUAUAGAAUUACGAGUGCAAUGAAAGUGAGUAGAGGUUGAGAGGGCGAGUAACGAAGAGUAUGGGUAGUUAAUCGUUAAAACGAGACGAAACGAGAUAUUUAACGACUAACGGGUUAAUAUCCUAAAUAUCUAACCUACCCUACCCCUAACCACCCCCCAACUGCCCACUAUCCCUCUAUCUCACCUAACUCACGCUAUAUCAGCCCACACCACACACACAACUCACAUAUUCACACACACAACACCUAAAACACACACUACACACGCCAUUUUCCAUUUAAGCUUGGACGGAGCUUUUGACCUCCGAUUUGAGCACCGAGACGAGCGCCGAUCAUCUUUUCGAUCACGUAUCUAAGUAGGUCCUUUUGGGAAGUAACGACUUGAGGGAGAGAGUGACGUUACUCAUUGAUACAGAGACACAACGAGGUUGAACUGAUGUGAUGAUGGUGCUGCAAUGAGCGGAGUCUCCAGGGUUGUUAAUAAAUAGUUAACCUGUCUAGAAUAUGUCUUCAUACAUAUGUCUAGCUACUUUCCGCUGCAAGAUGUUGUUGAUGUUAUAGUAUGUUAUGUCAUACUUUGAGUCUUAAGAGAAUGGUUUCAUACGAUGUAUAACUUGAUUAAUGAUAUUAAUUAAGUUUUAUGCUGUCUUUCAUAGACUGUUUUCAA